rnacentral:rRNA from 1 species
UACGUAGGGUGCAAGCGUUGUCCGGAAUUAUUGGGCGUAAAGAGCUCGUAGGCGGUUUGUCGCGUCUGCUGUGAAAUCCCGAGGCUCAACCUCGGGUCUGCAGUGGGUACGGGCAGACUAGAAUGUGGUAGGGGAGAUUGGAAUUCCUGGUGUAGCGGUGAAAUGCGCAGAUAUCAGGAAGAACACCCGUGGCGAAGGCGGUUCUCUGGGACGGUACUGACGCUGAGACGCGAAAGCGUGGGGAGCGAACAGG